UUUGCUAUGAUAAUUUUAUUUGCAUUCUAUCUUUUGUGAUGCAUGUAUCUUUUGUAAUCUAUUAUUUAAUGGUUGUGUGAAAAGCUUCUUUAGCAGAUCAUAUGUUGCUGUUGUAUUUUCCUGGUUAUUGCUGGUGUAUUUAAUAUAGCAUUUGGUAGCUUUGCAGCUUUAUAUGAGCUUCGUUUAAUACAUUAUUAUUUUAUAUUUAUCGAUUAAUAUACGAUAAUAAAUAAUUUAGUAUCAGUAUAUGAUAUGAAAACUUAGUGACGGAAUUAGAUUGCAUAUGAUAUGAGGCUUGGGAUUGUUAUUAAGUUAUUAUACCUAGCAAUAUACGUUGUUAAAAGCUUUUAAGCAAUAAGUAUUUCAUAUAAAUUCAAAAUUGAGAAAAGAAACUUAGAAUUAUGUUGCCUCAUAACUUGCAUCAAUAAAACAAUAUUAUUAGAUUUAGAGUAUGUAUAAUUAGGAAGGGGGUUUCCAACAUUUUAUGUUCUUGAAAUCACAGUUUGAUAAUCUUACUGUGUGUUAAAUGAUUAUUAUCUGUUAGAUAAUUUCAUUAAUUAAUUUCUUCUGUGCUAAGAAGUAACAAAGUAGAUCAUGUAUGGUAAUAGUCAGACAGUAGAAUCUUAAAGUACUUGCAGUAAGUACCAUCUACGAAGUAGUCAUAUGACAAUCAUUUUCCUAUAUUAAUAAUAAUUUACCAAUAUCUUAAUAAUAUUCUGUUUACUGUCCCCUUGUAAAUAAAGAUCGUUUUCGUAGAUCUUCUGAUUUAGAUAUUUAAUUGGUGAUUAAAAAAGAGUACUCUGGUACAACAUACUUAAACAAGAAAAUCUAUAAUCUCCCAGAAUUUACGAUUUUUAAAUAUACAUGUUAAAUUCACAAAGUUAAUCAAUUAAUUAAUUAAUAUUGCAAUUCGAUAUUUUUGACAUAUCGGGGUAUGGACAAAAGAACACAUUAAAUGAAUGAAACCAAAUAAAAAUGCAAUUUUAAUGAAGUACAGAGAAUAAUACAUAAUACAAUUGGCAUAAUACAAUUAUAAUAAAAUUGGUUGGCAGCAAACUGAAUUUUAAAAUUGCGCAUCCACAAAAGCUACAAAAUGUGAUUUAUACUUCCUCGAAAACUAUUAUUCCUGCAAAUAAUGUCAUUCCUACGAGAAAAAAUAUGACGAAACACAAACGAAUGCGUUUCAGGGUCAAAACGAGCUGUGAGCUGACUAUUAAGCUGUUAUCAAGAACGAUUUUCAAUCUUCUUAAAGAACGGCGAAUUCCUAAUGCAAGAUCGCCUAUAUUGCCUUGGUAAUUGGGUCCCUUCAAAAGAGGAGCGAAUGGAGGAAGAAGAAAAAUUCUGAAGUUCCAAGUUGCACAAUCCUUUGGAGAGAUCGUUUCUGACAGUAGGUCACCUUUCAUUGCCGGGUGCUGAGGUAAUUCGAGCAAUUUACUCGGGCAACUCAAGCAGAUCGUUGACAAACCUAAUAAUUUCCUCUUUGUGUCCAAGAAUUGUGCAUAUGUGCCACAUUUUUAUUUCUAACAGACGAAACUCGUACCCUUCGUGUAAUAUAGGUAUAUGUUUCUCGAUUGUCUCAUCUUUCAUACGAAACGAUGCAAAAUUUUCCAGAAAAGAUACGUCUUUGUUGUUUUAAUUGCAAUUAAGUUGAUCAGAAACCGUUGUCAUUCUUGUUGUGUGAAAGAGAUGAGGUUGAUUUCUUUGACUGAAAUUUCCAUUAAUAGUAGAACUAUAACGUACUAAAUAUAAAAUAUAGAUUAAAAUACUAGAUUAAAAUAUAAAAUUUGUACCAAAAGGAAUGAAAAUGAAAGAUAAUCAGAAAAGAUACAUCAUAUAAUUCUCGUGUUUCUUUUAAUUGCAAGAAUUCGUCGUUGUCUAUCUUAGGAUUUCAGUAGCGUGAAUAUGUCAUGUUUGAAAAGAUCAUUAAAAGUUCACAAAGAGAUAGAGAUGCGGUAGUUGUCAAAAGCUGCGCAGUGUAAUUUUAUAACCUUGGUGAAAUAAAGAGUCUUUGAGAAUAAACUCGUUAUACAAA